UACGGAGAGUGCAAGCAUUAAUCGGAAUUAUUGGGCGUAAAGGGCGCGUAGGCGGGAUGGCAAGUCGGUCGUGAAAUCCCUCGGCUCAACUGAGGAUCGUCGAUCGAUACUGCCGUUCUUGAGGAUUGCAGAGGAGACUGGAAUUCCCGGUGUAGCGGUGAAAUGUGUAGAUAUCGGGAGGAACACCAGUGGCGAAGGCGACUUCCUGGCCUGUUCUUGACGCUGAGGCGCGAAAGCUGGGGGAGCAAACGGG
rnacentral:rRNA from 1 species